rnacentral:rRNA from 1 species
CACGUAGGCGGAUUCCUAAGUCGGGGGUGAAAUCCUGGAGCUUAACUCCAGAACUGCCUUCGAUACUGGGAAUCUUGAGUCCGGAAGAGGUGAGUGGAACUGCGAGUGUAGAGGUGAAAUUCGUAGAUAUUCGCAAGAACACCAGUGGCGAAGGCGGCUCACUGGUCCGGUACUGACGCUGAGGUGCGAAAGCGUGGGGAGCAAACA